rnacentral:lncRNA from 1 species
CAGGCGUGAUCUGAAGGGUGAUCGGAACAGUAAAUGGGUUAGAAUUUUAGAGAGAAGGUAGGGAGGUUUUAGAGAGAAGGAGGAGAGUUUGAGAUUUUCAGAAGGUUGAGUUUGAGGAAGAAGAAGAAGAUUGCAUGCAAAAGUGGCGUCAGAUCUCAUUCCCACCUUAUAUACUACCUCCAGUCCGAACGGUCGGCCAACUCCAACGUGACACCUGACUUCCACUCCCUGGGGUUUCUCUGCUAUGCUGAUACUGCACGGAUCACGAGGGAAGGGAAUUAAAAGUUUGACAGAGUUUGUCUCCCACUCACCA